GUUCCCAGGGAUCACGUUGGGAUUACAGGACAGGAAAACCAGCAGGCAGAGGUAUACAGAGCUGAGACCAUUUGCCCUGGUUGUCAGUUCUGAUCUAGGGGACUUGGCUUUUUUUGUUGUUUGUUUGUUUGUUUGUUUGUUGUUUUCUUCAUUUUUCUUUGGCUUUUAAAGCACGUCUACUCAGUAUUGGUGACCAAAAAGGAGCCCGAUGUGAGCGUUCUGAAGGUAAGGCCUCUCCCCUGAAGCUUUAUCACUAAUGCACUCAAAGCGGCAAAGCCACCUCAAGAAACGCAGACAAAACACUGGACCUUUGUCUCCUACAACUGCUGGUCUGCACAAAUGCUCCCUAGAGCUCAGGGGAUUUCACAGACCUCCUAGAUGCCAGGUUGAAGGCUGACAGUGCCCAUCCCCCAUCACUGCAGUUAUGUAAGCCUGCUUCCGGUAAAAGGCCCUGGCGAAAAUCACACGCAGUUAGUGGCAUCGCCAAGGGAACAUUGUCCAUCAUGUCUCUUUGGGCCUCCUGAUGCUCCACUCGAUGUGAGAAUAUGAGGAUCAAUCAAGAGAAGAGACUAACCUCGAGACAGAGCACUAAAUCGAGCAGAAAACAGGAAGGCCUGUCUUGGGCCUCCAUUUGCGUAAACCUACAGACGCCAUCAACUCCUCCAACAGCCAAGGCCUUUUCUGACCACAAGGGGGCGCCCGCAUCAUGCUUUAAUAUAACACAUGGCACAUAUGUGUGUACAUGCAUCUGGAAGCCAAGACUCAAUGGGCUCCUUCAUUGCUCUCGUCUGAGUAUUUUUAAAACAAACUCUGUCACGGAACCAGUGUAAAACUGCCUUGUCCACAAGCCCCUGGAAUCCACGCGUCUCUGCUUCCCCAGCCCUAGAAUCACAGGAGAACACCACUGCAGCCAGCUGGUUAGAGGUAUAGACUGUUGCUAUCUAGAAUCAGAAGCUGUGGCAUACUGCAACUGUUUCCAUAGUUCCUGGAGGCUACUUUGUAUCCAUCUUGUUCAUCAAACCCUCAGCUCCUGCUUCACCGUAAGCUGCAUACUUAGUGGAAUUCAAGACCCAGGAUCAGAUGCAAAGAAUUAGCAGGGACCAUUCAGCCAGCCCCAUAUUGAGAAGUCAACUCUCUACAGGGAAUGUCAGGUAGGCCAGGAACUGUACCUGAGUGUGGGAGUGUGAGGUGAUGCAGGGAUGAUCCUCUAGAACCAAGCUUUCAAACCACAGUACCCAGGCCUUAGCUCUUCCAUGAUCUCAUGCAGGCACAAAAGCCCACCCACUCGCAAGAAGUUCAAUAGAAAAGAACAGAAGAAAAAAAUCUACAUUUUGCACUCUACGAGAUAACUGGUACACAAUCAUCAUUACACUGUCAGAUGUUUCUGACAUUUUAAGUCAGAGUCAAAGCUAGCUACUUCCUUGGAAACUAAAUAAAAUGUCAAUAAAUUC
ensembl:lincRNA 4930524O08Rik RIKEN cDNA 4930524O08 gene